rnacentral:sRNA from 1 species
CGACCCUUGAUAAGCCGGGGGUCACCUAGCCAACUGACGUUGUUAGUGAACCUAUAUGUUCACACUCAUACAAGCCAAUCUCCCUUUUUGAGGUUGGCUCUUCUUUU